UUGUCUAAUGAACUAGAUUCAGUCUCUUGGGCUCUUGAGCCUUCGGGUUGAUUCUCCACAAAAUCCUCGUAUGCCAGGAUUGCGGCGGGUCAGGGGCCCAAGGAACUCAUGGAAUUUUGGAAAUUUAGAUUGCCCCCACACAUUAGGAUUUUCCUUUGGCAACUGAUUCGAGGGAGCCUGCCGGUGGGAGACCAGUUUAUGAAACGUAAUGGUCCAGGUGAUGGUUGUUGCCCCUUAUAUGAGGUUGAUGAAGUCAUCAACCAUAUCUUCUUCUCUUGCAUCUCUGCAAAAUUCCUUUGGAGUUGCGAAAGGGAAGUGUGGGGAACAUGUGGUAUCGUGUCAACAACUUUUUGGAUGCGUAUCAGAUCAUCUCGGCUGGCUUUGGCCGGGUCCGCCUAUUGUAGUGGGUGGCUUUGGGACCUUAUCUUGGACACUGUCGUGGUUCUAAGCCUGACAGUAGAGUGGGGGGUAGGUAUGGAGAGGCAAGGUCCUAGCUAUGGAGAGGUUGUAAGCACAAAGGAUGUACGAGUUCAGGCCCUUCUCGGAAGAAGUAACAGCCCUACGUCUCGGAGCCCGGAGGCGGUCGAGUGGAUUAUGAAUGUAUGA
rnacentral:rRNA from 1 species